GCAGUGGGGGUUCAGUGGUAGAACUUUCACCUGCCACGAGGGAGACCUAGGUUUGACCCCUGGCUGAUGUA
rnacentral:tRNA from 1 species